UAUUCCCACAUAUACAGAUUGACCAAUCUGUGUUGAUGCAUUACUGGGUUGACUUAACUUUAUUUUAAAACUAAACUUUAUGAAUUGAAAAAUACGGUCUGUAUAUCUUUUUCCUUAUUCGGUCCAUUGAAGAUCUGGUUGGACUUGACCCAAAUUUUCUCCGGCAAACAAUUCCCUCCCCCUUCCUUUAAAAUUGGAAACUUCAAUGACAUGACCCAUUUGGCUUCUUAUACUGUGUUUAGCUUGAGCUGGGUUUGUGCUACUGUAUUUGCAUGUCGGAUUUUCCACCGCCGCCGACACAGCAGCAAGAGGAUAAAGGCCGGUACGAGCACCUCUUUGGACGACUUAGUUGGAGACGAUGGUUUGAAGUGGUUGGCUUUAGGAUAGUGGUGGUAAACGGGGUCUAUCAUUUUUCUAAAUUGAAUCUAAAAUCCACUUGGACUACAUUAUAUUUGUUUAUAACUACAUCUGGAAAAACAAUCUAUGAACACCAUAUGUUCGAUGAAAUGACAAAGAGAGAGUUGAAAUGUUA